CACGUAGGGUGCGAGCGUUGUCCGGAAUUAUUGGGCGUAAAGAGCUCGUAGGCGGCGCGGUAAGUCGGGUGUGAAAUCUCGGAGCUUAACUCCGAAACUGCAUUCGAUACUGCCGUGCUUGAGGACUGGAGAGGAGACUGGAAUUUACGGUGUAGCGGUGAAAUGCGUAGAUAUCGUAAGGAAGACCAGUGGCGAAGGCGGGUCUCUGGACAGUUCCUGACGCUGAGGCACGAAGGUCAGGGGAGCAAACGGG
rnacentral:rRNA from 1 species